CGCUGGCGGCGUGUNCUAACACAUGCAANCUCGAACGAGAAAGUGGAGCAAUCCAUGAGUAAAGUGGCGACCGGGUGAGUAACACGUGACUAACCUACCUUCGAGUGGGGGAUAACAUCGGGAAACCGAUGCUAAUACCGCAUAACAUCGCAAGAUCAAAGCAGCAAUGCGCUGGAAGAGGGGGUCGCGGCUGAUUAGCUAGUUGGCGGGGUAACGGCCCACCAAGGCGAAGAUCGGUAUCCGGCCUGAGAGGGCGCACGGACACACUGGAACUGAAACACGGUCCAGACUCCUACGGGAGGCAGCAGUGGGGAAUUUUGCGCAAUGGGGGAAACCCUGACGCAGCAACGCCGCGUGGAGGAUGAAGCCCCUUGGGGCGUAAACUCCUUUCGACCAAGACGAUAAUGACGGUACUGGUGGAAGAAGCACCGGCUAACUCUGUGCCAGCCGCCG
rnacentral:rRNA from 1 species